rnacentral:rRNA from 1 species
AGCGACUUCGGUCGUGAGUAAAGCGGCAGACGGGUGAGUAACACGUGGAUAACCUACCUAGAAGCGGGGAAUAACUAGGGGAAACCUUAGCUAAUACCGCAUACGUACGCACCGCAUAAGCGAUGCGUAGAAAGAUGGCCUCUUCUUGAAAGCUGUCACUUCUAGAUGGAUCCGCGUCUGAUUAGCUAGUUGGUGGGGUAAUGGCCUACCAAGGCGACGAUCAGUAGCCGACCUGAGAGGGUGAUCGGCCACACUGGAACUGAGACACGGUCCAGACUCCUACGGGAGGCAGCAGUGAGGAAUAUUGGACAAUGGGCGAAAGCCUGAUCCAGCAACGCCGCGUGGAGGAUGAAGGUCUUCGGAUUGUAAACUCCUGUCAGGUGGGACGAAGGGACCUUGGUUAAUACCCAGAGUUCUUGACGGUACCACCAGAGGAAGCCCCGGCUAACUCCGUGCCAGCAGCCGCGGUAAUACGGAGGGGGCGAGCGUUAUUCGGAAUCAUUGGGCGUAAAGGGCGCGUAGGCGGCCUGACAAGUCAGGGGUGAAAUCCCUCGGCUCAACCGAGGAACUGCCUCUGAAACUGUCAGGCUUGAGGCCGGGAGAGGGUAGUGGAAUUCCCAGUGUAGCGGUGAAAUGCGUAGAUAUUGGGAGGAACACCAGUGGCGAAGGCGGCUACCUGGACCGGUUCUGACGCUGAGGCGCGAAAGUGUGGGGAGCAAACAGGAUUAGAUACCCUGGUAGUCCACACUGUAAACGAUGAGCACUCGGUGCCGCGGGUGUCGACCCCUGCGGUGCCUCAG